rnacentral:lncRNA from 1 species
AUGAAUGCACAGGUUCAACUCGGCAUAGUAGACACACAGGAGGUUCAGUUCUCUGGAAGCAGGAAUACCUCUGGCAGUGGGUUUAUAGCCAUCGAUGAUGUCACAGUCAAGGAAGGGGCCUGCAAAGAUCAACGUAAGAGAUGCGUUCAUAAUGGCUCUAUAAACAGACUGCCCUGUGAAGCAUUUUUUAACACUGAAAGUGUAUAUAAUUGUUGUUAUUAUAUUGCCACUAAUGCACAUAGUAUAACCUAUGUCGAUCAUAUCACUUACUAGAGUUCCAUUUCAUUCUGUGGGGUUACACCAUAUCAAACACAUCAUGUAGGCAAUAUAUUUCCUCACUGAUUUGAGACUAUGAGG